AUACGUAGGUGACAAGCGUUAUCCGGAUUUACUGGGCGUAAAGGGCGUGUAGGCGGUCUUGCAAGUCAGAAGUGAAAUUCCUGAGCUCAACUCGGGCGCUGCUUCUGAAACUGCAGGACUUGAGUGCUGGAGGGGAUAGCGGAAUUCCUAGUGGAGCGGUAAAAUGCGCAGAUAUUAGGAAGAACACCGGUGGCGAAGGCGGCUAACUGGACAGUAACUGACGCUGAGGCGCGAAAGCGUGGGGAGCAAACAGGAUUAGAUACCCUGGUAGUCCACGCUGUAAACGAUGAAUACUAGGUGUAGGGGGUAUCGACCCCUCCUGUGCCGCAGUUAACACAAUAAGUAUUCCACCUGGGGAGUACGGCCGCAAGGUUGAAACUCAAAUGAAUUGACGGGG
rnacentral:rRNA from 1 species